rnacentral:rRNA from 1 species
UUCGGUGUAAAAUGAGCUUGCGUCCUAUUAGCUAGUUGGUGAGGUAAUGGCUCACCAAGGCUACGAUGGGUAGGGGUUCUUAGUGGAAGGUCCCCCACACUGGCACUGAGAUACGGGCCAGACUCCUACGGGAGGCAGCAGUAGGGAAUAUUGGUCAAUGGGCGCAAGCCUGAACCAGCCAUGCCGCGUGCAGGAUGAAGGCUCUCUGAGUUGUAAACUGCUUUUGUACAGGAGCAAAAAAAUCCCUGCGGGGGUUCUUGAGAGUACUGUAAGAAUAAGCACCGGCUAAUUCCGUGCCAGCAGCCGCGGUAAUACGGGAGGUGCAAGCGUUAUCCGGUUUUAUUGGGUUUAAAGGGUGCGUAGGCGGCUUAUUAAGUCAGUUGUGAAAUC